rnacentral:rRNA from 1 species
AUGGCUUCUUUUUAAUCACAAACGACUCUCGGCAACGGAUAUCUCGGCUCACGCAUCGAUGAAGAACGUAGCAAAAUGCGAUACUUGGUGUGAAUUGCAGAAUCCCGUGAACCAUCGAGUUUUUGAACGCAAGUUGCGCCCGAAGCCAUUCGGCUGAGGGCACGUCUGCCUGGGCGUCACGC